rnacentral:rRNA from 1 species
GACGAACCGUGCGAACGUUGUUCGGAAUCACUGGGCUUAAAGGGCGCGUAGGCGGUCCCGAAAGUCAGGGGUGAAAUCCCACGGCUCAACCGUGGAAGUGCCUUUGAUACUUCGGGUCUAGAGUGUGGCAGAGGGGGGUGGAAUUCCGCGUGUAGCAGUGAAAUGCGUAGAGAUGCGGAGGAACACCGAUGGCGAAGGCAGCCCCCUGGGCUAACACUGACGCUCAGGCACGAAAGCGUGGGGAGCAAACAGG